AUAAACUAGGAAAGCAGUUGAACAGCUAUGCGAGAAGCCUACUUUCUCUUCAUGUAACACGUUGGCCUAAGAGAUCUAUAGAGCUUUUUAAAAACAAAGAAGGCAGCAAGAUUUAAAAUAAUAAAACCAGCAAUAGGUAUUUUUAAAAGUGAGAGAAACUAUCAGAGAGCUGUAGCAGAAAAGCAAGUUAAAAAUAAAGGAAACAGAAAAGGAACUGAUACAGCUGAUUUGAUACUGGAAAAAUCACCCAGGAGGCAGCGUGGACAAUGGAUUGGAGAAGGGCGAACAUUCAGUCAGAGACUUUGUGAGCUUACUGUAAAUUAGAGGGAGCAAAUUGGAGGAGAAAUGACAAAAGAAACAGAAAAAAUGUUUAAUCAGACAAAGGAACUAAAAAACCUCAGUCUUAAUUAGAAGAUGGUCAAACAAAUCUCUUAACUGAUGUUCACAAUGAUGGUUUCAAGUCAUCUAAGGAAUGGGUGAGUACCAGGGAACUUGUGUAAUUUCAAUCAAAUUUAAUUUUUACAACAAUCCCAAGAAAUAUAUCAUUAUCCCUACAUCACAGACUAAAACAAAAUAAACAAAAACAAAUAAAACCUUUGAGACUCAGAACUAUUUUAGCAACUUUCCCAAAAGCUGCUAAAAGGUAAAACUAGAAUCCUGAUCCAUCAAUGCCAAGCCCUAU
rnacentral:lncRNA from 10 species